GCAUUUGCUCAGUUGGCUAGAAUAGUGCUGAUAACACCAAGGUCAUGGGUUCGAUUCCCGUAUGGGGCA